AAAAAAAAAAAAAAGAAAAACUACCUGAGAGACCGUUUACUUCAAAGUUCAACUAUAUAUUUCCUGUUCAGAUAAUCAAAAUUCUAAAGAAGCUCAUCUGGGUUAUGGCUUGGACGAGCAAUGCCUUCUUUUCUUAUUGAUCUGACCACCUGUGAGCUCCAUUUCUCUCGCUUUCUUAAAUUUUGGUUUCAGCAACUAUCCUUUUCUGCAUUACCACUACUGGUUGAAUGCUUACUUUAUGCAACCUAGAUACAAGAGAUGUCAAGUUGUUUGAUUGAUGUAGAGCAUGUGAUGCCACUACUGUUAAAUUGAUCAAAUAUUUCAUUAAUUACUUUCCAUAAGUUUCGUACAAUCAAUAAUGGCUCCAAGAAAUACUACAUUCUAUCUGCUUCUGUUAUCCAGUUUAAUCAACAUACUUAUUGAUCUACAUAAUUUUUUAGCAGUGUUUUUGCAGCCACUUUUCCAGCACUUUUUAGAUGGAUAUUGCAGAUUUUAAAUGUCAAUUUAUUUCAGUUUGUUUCUUUUCUUAUCAUAAAUAUUCAUCCUUGAUCCUUGGCUGUAAUCUCAGUGUGUAUAUUUGGGAUUGUGGUUGUGAUGGUGAAGUGAAUUCUUU
rnacentral:misc_RNA from 1 species